rnacentral:rRNA from 1 species
GAUGAACGCUAGCUACAGGCUUAACACAUGCAAGUCGAGGGGCAGCAUGAACAUAGCUUGCUAUGUUUGAUGGCGACCGGCGCACGGGUGCGUAACACGUAUCCAAUCUGCCCGUUACUCGGGGAUAGCCUUCUGAAAGGAAGAUUAAUACCCGAUAGUAUCCAUUAGCGGCAUCGCCUAUGGAUUAAAGAUUUAUCGGUAACGGAUGGGGAUGCGUGACAUUAGGUAGAUGGCGGGGUAACGGCCCACCAUGCCUACGAUGUCUAGGGGUUCUGAGAGGAAGGUCCCCCACACUGGAACUGAGACACGGUCCAGACUCCUACGGGAGGCAGCAGUGAGGAAUAUUGGUCAAUGGUCGAAGGACUGAACCAGCCAUGCCGCGUGAAGGUGACGGCCCUAUGGGUCUUAAACUUCUUUUGUAAGGGAGCAAUAAGUUCUACGUGUAGGAUGAUGAGAGUACCUUACGAAUAAGCAUCGGCUAACUCCGUG